rnacentral:rRNA from 1 species
AUGCUCAUACAAGUAUUAUCACAUGAUCAGUUCAUCGUUGCAGCAGUCACAUUGUGGUCUAUCUGGCAUGCCCGACGCAAAGCUAUUCACAAAUCCAUUUUUCAGAGCCCCCAAUCUACAUUCAGCUUUAUUGGAAGGUUUAUUGCAGAACUUGAUACUAUAAAAACCAUGAAACCAGAACGAGUCGCUGCACCAGUUCAGAGAAGGCCGAAGAAACCUCCGCCAGGGUAUUGCAAGAUUCAUGUGGAUGCAAGAGUUGUGGUAAGAAGAGGAGGAUCUGCGGCAGCUGUUUGCAGAGAUGGGGAGGGAAACUACAUGGGUAGUUCGGCUCUAGUGAUCGAGGGAGUGGAAGAUCCUGCAACACUUGAGGCUAUCGCGUGCCGGGAGGCGUUAUCCCUUGCGGAAAAUAUGGGUAUCCAGAAUUUUGUUAUCGCCUCAGACUGCCAACAAGUCGUUUCAGAUAUCAACAGGACGUCACACGGGUCGUAUGGAGCGAUCAUCGCAGAAAUAAACCCUAGAGCGUCUUUCUUUCAAUGUAUUUCUUCCUUUGAGAGUCGUGUUGUUAAUUAUGAAGCACAUAGUUUAGCCAAGUUUUCCCUCUCAAGAGGUCCGGGGCGCCACGUUUGGUUUGGUGCUCCUCACGACCAGAGAUGUAUCCCGCUUCAUGCGGAUUUUGCUGAANNNNNNNNNNUAUUCUGA